CCUACCACUAGAGUUAUUUCAGGUAUGGCCAUUGUCUCACACACAUAGUUGUAGGUUGCAGAAGGGAGAGAGGCUAUGCCUAUAAUCAAUGUUCUGAUCUAGGAACAUCUAAAUGAUUAGUAGUCUAACAUU
ensembl:snoRNA LOC120097259 small nucleolar RNA SNORA17